rnacentral:rRNA from 1 species
UACGUAGGGGGCGAGCGUUGUCCGGAGUUACUGGGCGUAAAGCGCGCGCAGGCGGUCGUUCAAGUCGAGUGUGAAAGCCCCCGGCUCAACUGGGGAGGGUCACUCGAUACUGAUCGACUUGAAGGCAGAAGAGGGAAGCGGAAUUCCCGGUGUAGUGGUGAAAUGCGUAGAUAUCGGGAGGAACACCAGUGGCGAAGGCGGCUUUCUGGUCUGUUCUUGACGCUGAGGCGCGAAAGCUAGGGUAGCAAACGGG